GAUGAACGCUAGCUGCAGGCUUAACACAUGCAAGUCGAGGGGCAGCAUGGUCUUAGCUUGCUAAGGCCGAUGGCGACCGGCGCACGGGUGAGUAACACGUAUCCAACCUGCCGUCUACUCUUGGACAGCCUUCUGAAAGGAAGAUUAAUACAAGAUGGCAUCAUGAGUCCGCAUGUUCACAUGAUUAAAGGUAUUCCGGUAGACGAUGGGGAUGCGUUCCAUUAGAUAGUAGGCGGGGUAACGCCCACCUAGUCUUCGAUGGAUAGGGGUUCUGAGAGGGAAGGUCCCCCCACAUUGGGAACUGAGACACGGGUCCAAACUCCUACGGGAGGCAGCAGUGAGGAAUAUUGGUCAAUGGGCGAGGGCCUGAACCAGCCAAGUAGCGUGAAGGAUGACAGCCCUAUGGGUU
rnacentral:rRNA from 1 species